UUCAGAUCCUGUCCCUUUAUAAGCAAUGAACUAAUACAAUAUUUCAUAUGCAGCAGUUACGUCUCUGAAUUAAUACUUUGACUAUGGGGACUGUACACAUUUGGCAUUUCAUCUUUAUUGUUGUUUUAACUCAUCAAGGUAUCAGCGGUGAUGAGAUCAGAUUAGAUCAGUCUCCUGCGGUGGUAAAGAGACCUCAGGAAACAGUGAAGAUCUCCUGUAAAAUAUCUGGUUUUGACAUGACAAGCUUCUACAUGAGCUGGAUAAGGCAGAAACCUGGGAAAGCUCUGGAGUGGAUUGGAAGUGUUGACUCUGGUAGUGGUGAUGAAGUUACAUAUGCAGACUCAAUGAAAGAUCAUUUUAUUCUGAGUGAGGACGUUUCUGCAAGUACACAGUAUCUUGAAGCCAAGAGUCUGAGAGAAGAGGACACUGCUGUUUAUUACUGUGCUCGACAGUCACAGUGA